rnacentral:rRNA from 1 species
AAUCAACGCUGGCGGCGUGCCUCAGACAUGCAAGUCGAACGAUUAAAGCUCUCUUCGGAGAGUGUAUAGAGUGGCGCACGGGUGAGUAACACGUAAGUAAUCUACCCUCGAGUGGGGAAUAACAACCGGAAACGGUUGCUAAUACCGCAUAAUGCAGCGGCACCGCAAGGUGACAGUUGUUAAAGAUUUAUCGCUUGAGGAGGAGCUUGCGGCAGAUUAGCUAGUUGGUAGGGUAACGGCUUACCAAGGCUACGAUCUGUAACCGGUCUAAGAGGACGGUCGGUCACACUGACACUGAAUAACGGGUCAGACUCCUACGGGAGGCAGCAGUCGGGAAUUUUGGGUCAAUGGGCGAAAGCCUGACCCAGCAACGCCGCGUGAAGGAUGAAGUAUUUCGGUAUGUAAACUUCGAAAGAAUAGGAAGAAUUAAUGACGGUACUAUUUAUAAGGUCCGGCUAACUACGUG